rnacentral:rRNA from 1 species
UUAAGCGACUAAGCGUACACGGUGGAUGCCCUGGCAGUCAGAGGCGAUGAAGGACGUGCUAAUCUGCGAUAAGCGUCGGUAAGGUGAUAUGAACCGUUAUAACCGGCGAUUUCCGAAUGGGGAAACCCAGUGUGAUUCGUCACACUAUCAUUACGUGAAUACAUAGCGUAAUGAAGCGAACCGGGGGAACUGAAACAUCUAAGUACCCCGAGGAAAAGAAAUCAACCGAGAUUCCCCCAGUAGCGGCGAGCGAACGGGGAGCAGCCCAGAGUCUGAAUCAGCUUGUGUGUUAGUGGAACGGUCUGGAAAGUCCGACGGUACAGGGUGAUAGUCCCGUACACCAAAAUGCACAGGUUGUGAACUCGAAGAGUAGGGCGGGACACGUGGUAUCCUGUCUGAAUAUGGGGGGGACCAUCCUCCAAGGCUAAAUACUCCUGACUGACCGAUAGUGAACCAGUACCGUGAGGGAAAGGCGAAAAGAACCCCGGCGAGGGGAGUGAAAAAGAACCUGAAACCGUGUACGUACAAGCAGUGGGAGCCUCUUUAUGGGGUGACUGCGUACCUUUUGUAUAAUGGGUCAGCGACUUAUAUUCUGUAGCAAGGUUAACCGUAUAGGGGAGCCGAAGGGAAACCGAGUCUUAACUGGGCGUUAAGUUGCAGGGUAUAGACCCGAAACCCGGUGAUCUAGCCAUGGGCAGGUUGAAGGUUGGGUAACACUAACUGGAGGACCGAACCGACUAAUGUUGAAAAAUUAGCGGAUGACUUGUGGCUGGGGGUGAAAGGCCAAUCAAACCGGGAGAUAGCUGGUUCUCCCCGAAAGCUAUUUAGGUAGCGCCUCGUGAACUCAUCUUCGGGGGUAGAGCACUGUUUCGGCUAGGGGGUCAUCCCGACUUACCAACCCGAUGCAAACUGCGAAUACCGAAGAAUGUUAUCACGGGAGACACACGGCGGGUGCUAACGUCCGUCGUGAAGAGGGAAACAACCCAGACCGCCAGCUAAGGUCCCAAAGUCAUGGUUAAGUGGGAAACGAUGUGGGAAGGCACAGACAGCCAGGAUGUUGGCUUAGAAGCAGCCAUCAUUUAAAGAAAGCGUAAUAGCUCACUGGUCGAGUCGGCCUGCGCGGAAGAUGUAACGGGGCUAAACCAUGCACCGAAGCUGCGGCAGCGACACUAUGUGUUGUUGGGUAGGGGAGCGUUCUGUAAGCCGUUGAAGGUGGCCUGUGAGGGUUGCUGGAGGUAUCAGAAGUGCGAAUGCUGACAUAAGUAACGAUAAUGCGGGUGAAAAACCCGCACGCCGGAAGACCAAGGGUUCCUGUCCAACGUUAAUCGGGGCAGGGUGAGUCGACCCCUAAGGCGAGGCCGAAAGGCGUAGUCGAUGGGAAACAGGUUAAUAUUCCUGUACUUGGUGUUACUGCGAAGGGGGGACGGAGAAGGCUAUGUUAGCCGGGCGACGGUUGUCCCGGUUUAAGCAUGUAGGCGGAGGUUCCAGGUAAAUCCGGUACCUUUUUAACGCUGAGGUGUGAUGACGAGGCACUACGGUGCUGAAGUAACAAAUGCCCUGCUUCCAGGAAAAGCCUCUAAGCAUCAGGUAACACGAAAUCGUACCCCAAACCGACACAGGUGGUCAGGUAGAGAAUACCAAGGCGCUUGAGAGAACUCGGGUGAAGGAACUAGGCAAAAUGGUGCCGUAACUUCGGGAGAAGGCACGCUGAUAUGUAGGUGAAGUGAUUUACUCAUGGAGCUGAAAUCAGUCGAAGAUACCAGCUGGCUGCAACUGUUUAUUAAAAACACAGCACUGUGCAAACACGAAAGUGGACGUAUACGGUGUGACGCCUGCCCGGUGCCGGAAGGUUAAUUGAUGGGGUUAUCCGUAAGGAGAAGCUCUUGAUCGAAGCCCCGGUAAACGGCGGCCGUAACUAUAACGGUCCUAAGGUAGCGAAAUUCCUUGUCGGGUAAGUUCCGACCUGCACGAAUGGCGUAAUGAUGGCCAGGCUGUCUCCACCCGAGACUCAGUGAAAUUGAACUCGCUGUGAAGAUGCAGUGUACCCGCGGCAAGACGGAAAGACCCCGUGAACCUUUACUAUAGCUUGACACUGAACACUGGUCCUUGAUGUGUAGGAUAGGUGGGAGGCUUUGAAGUGUGGACGCCAGUCUGCAUGGAGCCAUCCUUGAAAUACCACCCUUUAAUGGCUGGUGUUCUAACGUGGACCCGUUACCCGGGUUGCGGACAGUGUCUGGUGGGUAGUUUGACUGGGCGGUCUCCUCCUAAAGAGUAACGGAGGAGCACGAAGGUUAGCUAAUCCUGGUCGGACAUCAGGAGGUUAGUGCAAAGGCAUAAGCUAGCUUGACUGCGAGAGUGACGGCUCGAGCAGGUGCGAAAGCAGGUCUUAGUGAUCCGGUGGUUCUGAAUGGAAGGGCCAUCGCUCAACGGAUAAAAGGUACUCCGGGGAUAACAGGCUGAUACCGCCCAAGAGUUCAUAUCGACGGCGGUGUUUGGCACCUCGAUGUCGGCUCAUCACAUCCUGGGGCUGAAGUAGGUCCCAAGGGUAUGGCUGUUCGCCAUUUAAAGUGGUACGCGAGCUGGGUUUAGAACGUCGUGAGACAGUUCGGUCCCUAUCUGCCGUGGGCGCUGGAGAAUUGAGGGGGGCUGCUCCUAGUACGAGAGGACCGGAGUGGACGCAUCACUGGUGUUCGGGUUGUCAUGCCAAUGGCAUUGCCCGGUAGCUAAAUGCGGAAGAGAUAAGUGCUGAAAGCAUCUAAGCACGAAACUUGCCCCGAGAUGAGUUCUCCCUGAGACUAUAAGUCUCCUGAAGGAACGUUAAAGACGAUGACGUUGAUAGGUCGGGUGUGUAAGUGUAGCGAUACAUUGAGCUAACCGAUACUAAUGAACCGUGAGGCUUAACCUU